AGAGUUUGAUCCUGGCUCAGGACGAACGCUGGCGGUGUGCUUCACACAUGCAAGUCGAACGAGGUAGCAAUACCUAGUGGCGGACGGGUGAGUAACGCGUGGGAAUCUGCCUUUAGAUGGGGGAUAACGAGCCGAAAGGUUCGCUAAUACCGCAUAUGCCGCAAGGUGAAAGGAGUAAUCCGUCUAAAGAUGAGCCCGCGUCCGAUUAGCUAGUUGGUGGGGUAAAGGCCUACCAAGGCGACGAUCGGUAGCUGGUCUGAGAGGAUGAUCAGCCACAAUGGGACUGAGACACGGCCCAUACUCCUACGGGAGGCAGCAGUGGGGAAUUUUACGCAAUGGGGGAAACCCUGACGUAGCGACACCGCGUGAGCGAAGAAGCCCCUUGGGGUGUAAAGCUCUGUCAGCUGGAACGAAACAAAUGACGGUACCAGCAGAGGAAGCAUCGGCUAACUACGUGCCAGCAGCCGCGGUAAGACGUAGGAUGCAAGCGUUGUCCGGAUUUAUUGGGCGUAAAGAGUUCGUAGGUGGUUUGUUAAGUUUGGUGUUAAAGAUUGGGGCUCAACCCUGAAACUGCACUGAAUACUGGCAGACUCGAGUGUGGUAGAGGCUAGUGGAAUUCCCAGUGUAGCGGUGAAAUGCGUAGA
rnacentral:rRNA from 1 species